UUUCACACCCAGUGGAAGCCUGAAAAUAUGAAAAACCUAUUAAGUUCUAAAGCAUUUAUUUUCUUUUAAACAUUAAACAAUAAUCUCUGCUACAGAAUAAUAUUACAGCUGAAGGUUUGGACUCACUUGUCCCGCCUCACAGACCAAAACGCUGCAGAUUAGAGCAGAAUGUUUUUAGAUGUAGUCCUUUUAAUUAGUUGAUAAAUCAUGAAUUCAAUGAAAUAAUCAAUAUUAAAAAUUUUAUCAACAUUUUAUCUCAUAUAAUUUAACUCCCAGUUGUAUUUAAUGAUCUUUUAACAGGAAAGAUCAAGAAAAUUCAAAACUGAUCAACAUUUCAGAUCAUAAAUAGUAACUGCAUAGUUAGUUUGCCUAGUAACUAUUACUCUGUGCAGUAACUGAGUUACUAACUCUGCUCCUGUUUGGUAGCAGUAACUAACUAGUCCUAUUCUAACUAGCAUUACUAACCCUGAUUAUUGCCUUAGUUAUUGCAGUAGAGUUGAUCUUGUAACUUGUUGAGCUUCUGUUCUUCUAAAGUCAGUCUGCUGCCAUCUGCUGGAUAAAGAAAUAAAAAGUUCUGUAAUUCUGAUUGAUCAGCUGGCAGUGAUGGAAACCUUUUUGCUCUAGGAGUUCAGAUGUUCCUUGUUGUCUCUGAGUGAUGGUGGAGCUGAUGUGUUGCUGACUCUUCUCCUCGGCCUCCUCCAACAGGAUGAAGAUGAUCUGCUGGAUCCCGCCGCUCAUCAUCAUCAUCCUCAGCUCAUGUCUCUGUGGUCAGUUUCCAUCUUCUCUUUGUUCUAAAUCCAUCAGUAAUCAGUGAAAAGUCUGUCAGUGAAGCUAACACUUCAAUCCUCCUGCUGCAUUUGAUCCAGCAGUUUGACUAGAAGAGAAUCAAGCAGAGCUCUGACAGCACAGAGACCAUCAUGAGACAGAAACCUCUAGAGAUGGACUUUAAAGGCUCCCAUAUUCCAGUUCUCAGCCAUGGCCACUGCUCUAUCUGAAGAGUUGGUACCGAGAAAAAGGACUCGUGUUUCAUCAAAUAUAUGGAAGUGGUUCAACAAGGCAGAGACAGAGCAGACUACAGUAGUGUGCAAGGUUUGUCGAAAUACUAUGAAAACCAAGACUAGCAGCACAGCUAAGUUGUUUCAGCCUCUCUGGCAAAGGCACCUCACAGAAUGGGAGCAGUGCUCACAGCUUUGGGAGUGCAGCGUCGAUUGCACGGGCAAAGACAAACACGACAAGAAAAGACAACAAACCCUGGCCGUCUCAUUUUCUAAAGUGCUGCCAUACGACAAGUGUGCGGUGGAAACAGAUGACUGACGCUGUAGCUGUUCAUAUAGGGAUGGACAUGGUGCCCAUUUACAACGUAGAGGAGCCUGGCUUCCUUCUCAUGCAACAAGUGUGUGUUUCAAAAUAUGACCCGCAGAGUCGCAAAUACUUAGCAGAGAUUGCGCUACUUAAACUGUAGAACAAAACACGACAAGCGCUCAGAGAAAAGUUGGACCCUUUGUUGUUUGCAACUGUUUCAGACCUUUGGUCCCGUCGAUCUCUCCAGCUGUUCAUGAGUUAAUUAUAAUGAUGUGAACUGGGCUCUCAGCAGCUGCUGCUUACAGACCACCUACUUCCCAGAAGAUAAAUACAAGUUAUUGACUGUUUGAUAAAUUGCAUAUUU